rnacentral:rRNA from 1 species
GACGUAGGGCGCGAGCGUUGUCCGGAUUUAUUGGGCGUAAAGAGCUCGUAGGCGGCUUGUCGCGUCGUCCGUGAAAACCUGCGGCUCAACUGCAGGCUGGCGGUCGAUACGGGCAGACUGGAGUUCGGUAGGGGAGACUGGAAUUCUCGGUGUAGCGGUGAAAUGCGUAGAUAUCGAGAGGAACACCUGCGGCGAAGGCGGGUUGCUGGGCUGACACUGACGCUGAAACGCGAAAGCUAGGGGAGCGAACGGG